GGAACCCAAAGGCAGUGUUUGAAUCAAGCAGAGAAAUGAUUUUUCUGAGUACUUACCUGCUGAUUUUCCAUCAGAAGAACAUGAUGCUGGGCUCUUAUAGAAUGUGUAACACAAUUCCAAAUGGACUAAAGGAGGGCUGUGGAAACUUCUAAAAUAAUGUCGCCACCUGGGGGUCAAGUAUUCAACACUCGGAUCUGAAGAUCUGGAAAAGCCCUGAGAUUCUGACUGUGUGGUGUUGAAUCCACCCAUCCACCCCAACCAGAAGACUCCAAACCAGGGACCUGAGAGCCAAGGUCCAGUGGGAUGUGUUCAUGCCAUCAUCUCUACUCAAAUCAUGCUCUUCAGUUCAAAGCAGAAGGCAUGCAUGAGCAAGGACUGGAAAGGUUCAUGGCUGUGGCUGAGAAGCCCGAGAACUUCAGUAUAAAAAUAGUCUAGAGUAUACUCAAACGUGAGUAAGAACAGCCAUGCAGAUGCUGCAGCUCCUAGGACUGACUGAAAUCAGUGAGAACAUCCCAUUGCUCCAGGGCACACCAAAUACAAAAGAAGCCCGUCCGACACAAGGGAGUGCUGAGGUAACGGCUCUCAGACAACGGGAAAGCCAAACU